AUAACUUUUAAAUUUUCUUUUUUAUUCAUUUAGUAUCUUUUUGCCUAGAUUUAGUUUUAUAACGUAUAAUAUGCUUUUGCGUUUAAAUUUGUUUGAUUUUGUGUACUAUACAUGUUUGAUUCCGCUAGUUUUAAUCCCUUUCAAUAACAAGAGUGGGCGUGUUGUGUGUAGUUAAGUGACGAGUGUUUAUUAUAAUAUUAUGAAUAUACAUUGGAGUGCCCAUGAAGUUCAUUGACAGUGUUUGUCAUUUUUAGCUCACCUGGCCCGAAGGGCCAAUUGAGCUUUUCCCAUCGUCGUCGUUAACUUUAAAAAAAAUCUUCUCCUCUGAAACUACUGGGCCAAUAUAAAUCAAACUUAGCCACAAUCAUCAUUUGGGUAUCUAGUUUUAAAAAUGUGUCCAGUGACCCUGCAAACCAACC
rnacentral:lncRNA from 1 species